CCUGGCUCAGGAUGAACGCUAGCUACAGGCUUAACACAUGCAAGUCGAGGGGCAGCAUGGUCUUAGCUUGCUAAGGCCGAUGGCGACCGGCGCACGGGUGAGUAACACGUAUCCAACCUGCCGUCUACUCUUGGACAGCCUUCUGAAAGGAAGAUUAAUACAAGAUGGCAUCAUGAGUCCGCAUGUUCACAUGAUUAAAGGUAUUCCGGUAGACGAUGGGGAUGCGUUCCAUUAGAUAGUAGGCGGGGUAACGGCCCACCUAGUCUUCGAUGGAUAGGGGUUCUGAGAGGAAGGUCCCCCACAUUGGAACUGAGACACGGUCCAAACUCCUACGGGAGGCAGCAGUGAGGAAUAUUGGUCAAUGGGCGAGAGCCUGAACCAGCCAAGUAGCGUGAAGGAUGACUGCCCUAUGGGUUGUAAACUUCUUUUAUAAAGGAAUAAAGUCGGGUAUGGAUACCCGUUUGCAUGUACUUUAUGAAUAAGGAUCGGCUAACUCCGUGCCAGCAGCCGCGGUAAUACGGAGGAUCCGAGCGUUAUCCGGAUUUAUUGGGUUUAAAGGGAGCGUAGAUGGAUGUUUAAGUCAGUUGUGAAAGUUUGCGGCUCAACCGUAAAAUUGCAGUUGAUACUGGAUAUCUUGAGUGCAGUUGAGGCAGGCGGAAUUCGUGGUGUAGCGGUGAAAUGCUUAGAUAUCACGAAGAACUCCGAUUGCGAAGGCAGCCUGCUAAGCUGCAACUGACAUUGAGGCUCGAAAGUGUGGGUAUCAAACAGGAUUAGAUACCCUGGUAGUCCACACGGUAAACGAUGAAUACUCGCUGUUUGCGAUAUACAGCAAGCGGCCAAGCGAAAGCGUUAAGUAUUCCACCUGGGGAGUACGCCGGCAACGGUGAAACUCAAAGGAAUUGACGGGGGCCCGCACAAGCGGAGGAACAUGUGGUUUAAUUCGAUGAUACGCGAGGAACCUUACCCGGGCUUAAAUUGCAGAUGAAUUACGGUGAAAGCCGUAAGCCGCAAGGCAUCUGUGAAGGUGCUGCAUGGUUGUCGUCAGCUCGUGCCGUGAGGUGUCGGCUUAAGUGCCAUAACGAGCGCAACCCUUGUUGUCAGUUACUAACAGGUUCCGCUGAGGACUCUGACAAGACUGCCAUCGUAAGAUGUGAGGAAGGUGGGGAUGACGUCAAAUCAGCACGGCCCUUACGUCCGGGGCUACACACGUGUUACAAUGGGGGGUACAGAGGGCCGCUACCACGCGAGUGGAUGCCAAUCCCCAAAACCUCUCUCAGUUCGGACUGGAGUCUGCAACCCGACUCCACGAAGCUGGAUUCGCUAGUAAUCGCGCAUCAGCCACGGCGCGGUGAAUACGUUCCCGGGCCUUGUACACACCGCCC
rnacentral:rRNA from 1 species